UCUUCGAUAGCUCAGUUGGUAGAGCGGAGGACUGUAGAUCCUUAGGUCGCUGGUUCAAAUCCGGCUCGAGGGA
rnacentral:tRNA from 1 species